rnacentral:piRNA from 1 species
GCAAAGGACCAAAUGUAGAACAG